ACGGGUGAGUAACGCGUAAACAACCUGCCCUACGGAUGGGGACAACAGCUGGAAACGGCUGCUAAUACCGAAUACGUUCCGAAAGUCGCAUGACUAUCGGAAGAAAGGAUGGCCUCUAUAUAUAAGCUAUCGCCGGAGGAGGGGUUUGCGUCUGAUUAGCUAGUUGGAGGGGUAACGGCCCACCAAGGCGACGAUCAGUAGCCGGUCUGAGAGGAUGAACGGCCACAUUGGAACUGAGACACGGUCCAGACUCCUACGGGAGGCAGCAGUGGGGAAUCUUCCGCAAUGGGCGAAAGCCUGACGGAGCAACGCCGCGUGAGUGAAGACGGCCUUCGGGUUGUAAAGCUCUGUUAUACGGGACGAAUAAUCUUGUGGUUAAUACCCAUAAGAAGUGACGGUACCGUAAGAGAAAGCCACGGCUAACUACGUGCCAGCAGCCGCGGUAAUACGUAGGUGGCAAGCGUUGUCCGGAUUCAUUGGGCGUAAAGCGCUCGUAGGCGGUCUGUUAGGUCGGGAGUUAAAUCCGGGGGCUCAACCCCCGCUCGCUCCCGAUACCGGCAGACUUGAGUUUGGUAGGGGAAGGUGGAAUUCCUAGUGUAGCGGUGGAAUGCGCAGAUAUUAGGAAGAACACCAGUGGCGAAGGCGGCCUUCUGGGCCAUAACUGACGCUGAGGAGCGAAAGCUAGGGGAGCAAACAGGAUUAGAUACCCUGGUAGUCCUAGCCGUAAAC
rnacentral:rRNA from 1 species